CUCCCCCCUGUAUAUAUGGGGGAGACUUUGGAGGGGUCCUAUAGGUCACCCACAAGUCAUCUGGGCACUGACACCUUCCCUGGUUACAAGACAUGGCAACAACAUUUAAAGAUAUAUACAUUAUAAACACACUUUCAUGAAUAACAUAAGGCACUGAUUAACCAUUUAUGAUACACAGAUUAAGGGGGACUCCGGGAACACUGCAAUAGAGUCCGCCAGACAGGACAGAAACGGUACAGGGGUGCAACUCCUGUACUGGGCCACCGCAGUUAAAUCCGGAAAAUACAGGUCCCCAUAAUGUUGACAUGUGCAGACAUGGACGCGAAUGAACGUCCCUGUGCGGCAUCGUCAAGGCAACGUCAUUAGUCCAGGGAAGGCCCGGAGCACGGAGAAGAGGGCCCCCCCCCCCCGGUGAAAAUGGACAGCCAGGAACGACUAACCCUCCCCGCCGGACAGUCUCUGCAGCAUAGAUGGCUCGGACCAGCUCACCCUUCCUUCCCAUCGAGGGGAGGUGUGGCCUCAAUGGAUCGGACUAGUUUUUCCAACACCUCCCACAGAUGCUCGAACACCUGGAGAAUUCGGAGACAAAACUUCCUUAUUGAUCCCCAAAACAUCCUUGAACAGUUUUUACAGUGUGGCAGGGCACAUAAUCGUGCCAAAAAAGGGCACCA